rnacentral:rRNA from 2 species
UACCGGCGGCUCGAGUGGUGGCCACUAUUACUGGGCUUAAAGCGUCCGUAGCUUGGUUGUUAAGUCUCUUGGGAAAUCUGUCGGCUUAACCGACAGGCGUUUAAGGGAUACUGGCAAUCUAGGGACCGGGAGAGGUGAGAGGUACUCCAGGGGUAGGAGUGAAAUCCUGUAAUCCUUGGGGGACCACCUGUGGCGUAGGCGUCUCACCAGAACGGCUCCGACAGUGAGGGACGAAAGCUGGGGGAGCAAA